rnacentral:rRNA from 2 species
AAACUGAAGAGUUUGAUCAUGGCUCAGAUUGAACGCUGGCGGCAGGCGUAACACAUGCAAGUCGAGCGGCAGCACGGGAAGCUUGCUUGGUGGUGGCGAGCGGCGGACGGGUCAGUAAUGCAUAGGAAUCUCCCCGAUAGUGGGCGAUAACCUGGGGAAACCCAGGGUAAUACCGCAUACGUCCUACGGGAGAAAGCAGCGGACCUUCGGGCCUUGCGCUAUCGGAUGAGCCUAUGUCGGAUUAGCUAGUUGGUGAGGUAAUGGCUCACCAAGGCGACGAUCCGUAGCUGGUCUGAGAGGAUGAUCAGCCACAUCGGGACUGAGACACGGCCCGAACUCCUACGGGAGGCAGCAGUGGGGAAUAUUGGACAAUGGGCGCAAGCCUGAUCCAGCCAUGCCGCGUGUGUGAAGAAGGCCUUCGGGUUGUAAAGCACUUUCAGUGAGGAAGAAGGCCUUGGGCUUAAUACGUCCGACCGAGGACAUCACUCACAGAAGAAGCACCGGCUAACUGGGUGCCAGCAGCCGCGGUAAUACGGAGGGUGCGAGCGUUAAUCGGAAUUACUGGGCGUAAAGCGCGCGUAGGUGGCUUGAUAAGCCGGUUGUGAAAGCCCCGGGCUCAACCUGGGAACGGCAUCCGGAACUGUCAGGCUAGAGUGCAGGAGAGGAAGGUAGAAUUCCCGGUGUAGCGGUGAAAUGCGUAGAGAUCGGGAGGAAUACCAGUGGCGAAGGCGGCCUUCUGGACUGACACUGACACAGAGGUGCGAAAGCGUGGGUAGCAUACAGGAUUAGAUACCCUGGUAGUCCACGCCGUAAACGAUGUCGACUAGCCGUUGGGAGCCUCGAGUUCUUAGUGGCGCAGUUAACGCGAUAAGUCGACCGCCUGGGGAGUACGGCCGCAAGGUUAAAACUCAAAUGAAUUGACGGGGGCCCGCACAAGCGGUGGAGCAUGUGGUUUAAUUCGAUGCAACGCGAAGAACCUUACCUACCCUUGACAUCGUGCGAACUUUCCAGAGAUGGAUUGGUGCCUUCGGGAGCGCUCAGACAGGUGCUGCAUGGCUGUCGUCAGCUCGUGUUGUGAUUUGUAGGGUUAUGUCCCGUAACGAGCGCAACCCCUGUCCCUAUAUGCCAGCGAUUCGGUCGGGAACACUAGGGAGACUGCCGGUGACAAACCGGAGGAAGGUGGGGACGACGUCAAGUCAUCAUGGCCCUUACGGGUAGGGCUACACACGUGCUACAAUGGCAGGUACAAAGGGUUGCAAGACGGCGACGUGGAGCUAAUCCCAUUUAGCCUGCCUCAGUCCGGAACGGAGUCUGCAACUCGACUCCGUGAAGUCGGAAUCGCUAGUAAUCGUGAAUCAGAAUGUCACGGUGAAUACGUUCCCGGGCCUUGUACACACCGCCCGUCACACCAUGGGAGUGGACUGCACCAGAAGUGGUUAGCUUAACCUUCGGGGGAGCGAUCACCACGGUGUGGUUCAUGACUGGGGUGAAGUCGUAACAAGGUAGCCGUAGGGGAACCUGCGGCUGGAUCACCUCCUUA